AUGAACGCUAGCUACAGGCUUAACACAUGCAAGUCGAGGGGCAGCAUUUCAGUUUGCUUGCAAACUGGAGAUGGCGACCGGCGCACGGGUGAGUAACACGUAUCCAACCUGCCGAUAACUCGGGGAUAGCCUUUCGAAAGAAAGAUUAAUACCCGAUGGUAUAAUCAGACCGCAUGGUCUUGUUAUUAAAGAAUUUCGGUUAUCGAUGGGGAUGCGUUCCAUUAGGCAGUUGGUGAGGUAACGGCUCACCAAACCUUCGAUGGAUAGGGGUUCUGAGAGGAAGGUCCCCCACAUUGGAACUGAGACACGGUCCAAACUCCUACGGGAGGCAGCAGUGAGGAAUAUUGGUCAAUGGGCGCAGGCCUGAACCAGCCAAGUAGCGUGAAGGAUGACUGCCCUAUGGGUUGUAAACUUCUUUUAUAUGGGAAUAAAGUUUUCCACGUGUGGAAUUUUGUAUGUACCAUAUGAAUAAGGAUCGGCUAACUCCGUGCCAGCAGCCGCGGUAAUACGGAGGAUCCGAGCGUUAUCCGGAUUUAUUGGGUUUAAAGGGAGCGUAGGUGGACAGUUAAGUCAGUUGUGAAAGUUUGCGGCUCAACCGUAAAAUUGCAGUUGAUACUGGCUGUCUUGAGUACAGUAGAGGUGGGCGGAAUUCGUGGUGUAGCGGUGAAAUGCUUAGAUAUCACGAAGAACUCCGAUUGCGAAGGCAGCUCACUGGACUGCAACUGACACUGAUGCUCGAAAGUGUGGGUAUCAAACAGGAUUAGAUACCCUGGUAGUCCACACAGUAAACGAUGAAUACUCGCUGUUUGCGAUAUACAGUAAGCGGCCAAGCGAAAGCAUUAAGUAUUCCACCUGGGGAGUACGCCGGCAACGGUGAAACUCAAAGGAAUUGACGGGGGCCCGCACAAGCGGAGGAACAUGUGGUUUAAUUCGAUGAUACGCGAGGAACCUUACCCGGGCUUAAAUUGCAUUUGAAUAUAUUGGAAACAGUAUAGCCGUAAGGCAAAUGUGAAGGUGCUGCAUGGUUGUCGUCAGCUCGUGCCGUGAGGUGUCGACUUAAGUGCCAUAACGAGCGCAACCCUUAUCUUUAGUUACUAACAGGUCAUGCUGAGGACUCUAGAGAGACUGCCGUCGUAAGAUGUGAGGAAGGUGGGGAUGACGUCAAAUCAGCACGGCCCUUACGUCCGGGGCUACACACGUGUUACAAUGGGGGGUACAGAAGGCAGCUACCUGGUGACAGGAUGCUAAUCCCAAAAGCCUCUCUCAGUUCGGAUCGAAGUCUGCAACCCGACUUCGUGAAGCUGGAUUCGCUAGUAAUCGCGCAUCAGCCAUGGCGCGGUGAAUACGUUCCCGGGCCUUGUACACACCGCCCGUCAAGCCAUGAAAGCCGGGGGUACCUGAAGUACGUAACCGCAAGGAGCGUCCUAGGGUAAAACUGGUAAUUGGGGCU
rnacentral:rRNA from 1 species